rnacentral:rRNA from 1 species
AGCCCAGACUCCUACGGGAGGCAGCAGUGGGGAAUAUUGCACAAUGGGGGAAACCCUGAUGCAGCGACGCCGCGUGAGCGAUGAAGUAUUUCGGUAUGUAAAGCUCUAUCAGCAGGGAAGAAGAUGACGGUACCUGACUAAGAAGCCCCGGCUAACUACGUGCCAGCAGCCGCGGUAAUACGUAGGGGGCAAGCGUUAUCCGGAUUUACUGGGUGUAGAGGGGGCGCAGACGGCAGCGCAAGCCAGGAGUGAAAGCCCGGGGCCCAACCCCGGGACUGCUCUUGGAACUGCGCGGCUGGAGUGCAGGAGGGGCAGGCGGAAUUCCUGGUGUAGCGGUGAAAUGCGUAGAUAUCAGGAGGAACACCGGUGGCGAAGGCGGCUUUCUGGACUGAAACUGACGCCGAGGCACGAAAGCGUGGGGAGCGAACAGGAUUAGAUACCCCAGUA